rnacentral:rRNA from 1 species
GAUGAACGCUGGCGGCGUGCCUAAUACAUGCAAGUCGAGCGAACAGAUAAGGAGCUUGCUCCUUUGACGUUAGCGGCGGACGGGUGAGUAACACGUGGGUAACCUACCUAUAAGACUGGAAUAACUCCGGGAAACCGGGGCUAAUGCCGGAUAACAUUUAGAACCGCAUGGUUCUAAAUUGAAAGAUGGUUUUGCUAUCACUUAUAGAUGGACCCGCGCCGUAUUAGCUAGUUGGUAAGGUAACGGCUUACCAAGGCAACGAUACGUAGCCGACCUGAGAGGGUGAUCGGCCACACUGGAACUGAGACACGGUCCAGACUCCUAAGGGAGGCAGCAGUAGGGAAUCUUCCGCAAUGGGCGAAAGCCUGACGGAGAAACGCCGCGUGAGUGAUGAAGGUCUUCGGAUCGUAAAACUCUGUUAUUAGGGAAGAACAAAUGUGUAAGUAACUGUGCACGUCUUGACGGUACCUAAUCAGAAAGCCACGGCUAACUACGUG